AUGCUCCAGCACUGCACACCUCUGUGGGUGCAGAGAGGGUCCUGGGGGGUGACCCCAAAGCAACCCUCCCCCUGGGUUGGGCAAAACCCAGUGCAGCCAUCCCUGCGACGGGAGGGGGCCCCCGCCUUCCUCCUUCCUCCUCCAUCCUCCUCCUCCUCGCAGGGGCUUGGCUCUCUCCGGGGGCGAGAGGGAGGAAGGGGACAAGAGGGGAACCCCCCCUACCCCCACCCAGGCCCGGUGCGCUCCGUGCCCCCGCCCCGCGGAGCAUCGCGCUGUCCCCCCUCGCGCACGGGGCCGGUGACAGGCGGUGACACACGGACGGACACACGGACGCAGCCCUCCCUCUCCAUCAGCGCCCCGCGGUGCUCAGUGUAUGUGCCCGGAGAGGGGAGGAGGAAAAGGGGAGGAUGCACGGAAAGGGGGAGAUGCGUGGGAAAUGGGUGNNNNGGGAGGGUGGACGGUCAUGGAGAAGAGGGGAAUCAUGGAGAAAGGGGGGAUCAUGCAAAAGGGGGGUGCGUGCAGGGGGGAGCGCGCACGGAGGGGCGGCGGGGGGAGCGUUACAAGGAUGGGGAUGCAAAAGGGGUCCGGCCGCAGCCUGCAGGGGGGGUGGGCCGGGCAAUGCACGGGGGUGGCGGGUCCGUGUCGUCGUCGUCCCCCCCCCCCCCCCCCCCACCUCCGUCCCAGCCCCCGUCAUCCCCCGGGCCGGGCCGUGGGUUACUCACGGGUCGGGCAUCCGCGCCGUCGAGCAGCGCCGUCCGCUGCCCCGUGCCCACGGCCGCCGCCCGUGCGCUGCCCCCGGGUUCGGCACCGGAGGGAGAGGGAGAGGCAGCGGGAGCGGAGCGGAGCGGAGCGGCUGCACUGCGCACGCGUCCCCCGGCCCCUGCGAUUGACUUCCUAAAGCAAUUGCAGCUUUGGCACUUCCUCACGUCAAAACACACACACACACACACACACACACACACACGCACACACCCGUGCCCUACACCGGCACCUACAGCCGCUGUCCGGUGUGUGCGGCCAGCACCGGUACCAGCACCCGAACCCGAGCUGCAUCCUGCACCAGGUACAGGAUCCUGUGCACCCAGCACCUUUGUAACCCAUCACUGCACACCCCAUACUGAUAUCUCACACCCGGAGCCCUGUAGCAGCAUCCAGCACUGGCACCCCGAUGCAGGCAUCCUGUGCCAGCACAGGGCACUGGGACCCCCUACACCAGCAUCCUGA
rnacentral:lncRNA from 1 species